rnacentral:rRNA from 1 species
AACGGCAUGUGCACGCUCCUUUCACUAAUCCACACACACCUGUGCACCUUCGCGGGGGUCUCUUUGUUAACUCGAAGAGGCUCGCGUCCCUUUACACACCCUUUGUAUGUCUUAAGAAUGUCUACUCGAUGUAAUAAAACGCAUCUAAUACAACUUUCAACAACGGAUCUCUUGGCUCUCGCAUCGAUGAAGAACGCAGCGAAAUGCGAUAAGUAAUGUGAAUUGCAGAAUUCAGUGAAUCAUCGAAUCUUUGAACGCACCUUGCGCCCUUUGGUAUUCCGAAGGGCACACCUGUUUGAGUGUCGUGAAAUUCUCAACCCUCUUCACUUUUGUGAACGUAGUGGAUUGGACUUGGAGGCUUUGCCGGGCUUCACCGCUCGGCUCCUCUCAAAUGCAUUAGUGCGUCUUGUUGCGACGUGCGCCUCGGUGUGAUAAUUAUCUACGCUGUGGUGUGCUUGCUUCUGUGGAGACGCGCUUUCUAACCGUCCGAAAGGACAGCUUUCAUCGAACUUUGACCUCAAAUCAGGUGGGACUACCCGCUGAACUUAAGCAUAUCAAU